rnacentral:misc_RNA from 1 species
CAAAUAAAAAAAAUAUAAUAAUAAAUUUCAGGAAAGACUUUCAAUACAUCUAAACAAAAGAGACAGAUGAACGGCGACUCAAUUAAUCAGGUCCCCAAAGGAUCAGGUUCAUGAGAAUCUCAGCCUUCUCUUCCCUCCUUGUCCUCAACUUGUCAUCACUGCUAAUUCUCAUUGCCUGAUUAUUAACAGCAGAUCCACCAAUUCUACUGCCACUAUUAUUGUUGGGUGCUGCAGAUUCGGCCACCCAACCAAUAUUUCUCUUCCGCUCCAUGGACUUGAAUUUCAG